CNAGCAGCCGCGGUAAUACGUAGGUCCCGAGCGUUNUCCGGAUUUAUUGGGCGUAAAGCGAGCGCAGGCGGUUAGAUAAGUNUGAAGUUAAAGGCUGUGGCUUAACCAUAGUACGCCUUGGAAACUGUUUAACUUGAGUGCAGAAGGGGAGAGUGGAAUUCCAUGUGUAGCGGUGAAAUGCGUAGAUAUAUGGAGGAACACCGGUGGCGAAAGCGGCUCUCUGGUCUGUAACUGACGCUGAGGCUCGAAAGCGUGGGGAGCGAACAGGAUUAGAUACCCUGGUAGUNCACGCCGUAAACGAUGAGUGCUAGGUGUUAGGCCCUUUCCGGGGCUUAGUGCCGCAGCUAACGCAUUAAGCACUCCGCCUGGGGAGUACGACCGCAAGGUUGAAACUCAAAGGAAUUGACGGGGGCCCGCACAAGCGGUGGAGCAUGUGGUUUAAUUCGAAGCAACGCGAAGAACCUUACCAGGUCUUGACAUCCCGAUGCCCGCUCUAGAGAUAGAGUUUUACUUCGGUACAUCGGUGACAGGUGGUGCAUGGUUGUCGUCAGCUCGUGUCGUGAGAUGUUGGGUUAAGUCCCGCAACGAGCGCAACCCUUAUUGUUAGUUGCCAUCAUUCAGUUGGGCACUCUAGCGAGACUGCCGGUAAUAAACCGGAGGAAGGUGGGGAUGACGUCAAAUCAUCAUGCCCCUUAUGACCUGGGCUACACACGUGCUACAAUGGCUGGUACAACGAGUCGCAAGUCGGUGACGGCAAGCUAAUCUCUUAAAGCCAGUCUCAGUUCGGAUUGUAGGCUGCAACUCGCCUACAUGAAGUCGGAAUCGCUAGUAAUCGCGGAUCAGCACGCCGCGGUGAAUACGUUCCCGGGCCUUGUACACACCGCCCGUCACACCACGAGAGUUUGUAACACCCGAAGUCGGUGAGGUAACCUUUUAGGAGC
rnacentral:rRNA from 1 species